UUUAGGUGUGUUUUAGAUACAAUAAAGAUCGAGGGUGUGUCAUCACGUGAUUGGCUGGGGGAAUAAUAAAAAAAAAAGAUUCUCUCGUUUCGCAAUCUCUCUCCCCUCAUCACCUGAGUUCUGUUAUAGGGAUUGAUACGGUGAUAGUUUAAUUGGGUGUUUGAAUUCUUCGAUUGUGGAGACAAUAAAGAUGUAAAAGAGUAGUAGAAGUCUUACUUGUCUAAUUUGACAACUUGCAUUUGUUUGAAACAGUUCGAGAGCUUCCGUGUUCAGUUGGAAGUAUCUGCAGCUUUGCGUGAGAAGAUUCGUGUUUGUGGUUAUGGAGAUUGAGUCCGCUACGAGGCUAAUCCAAGCUAUCCUUCUUCUCGUUCAUCAGUCUCGACCUAUUCCCGAGGUUAUCGAGAAAUCUAAGGAAAAAAUCAACGAUUUGGAGAAGUUUUACGGCCGGGUUGCUGAGAUUUUUCGGGAGUGUCCUGGACAGUACUGUAGGUACCAUGGAGACUGGAGAAGUGAAAC